GAUGAACGCUGGCAGAAUGCUUAACACAUGCAAGUCUUUCGCGAAGCUGUGCUUGUUCCGCCUCGCCAAGGAGGACCGGAGAGUAACGCGACAGGUACUUGCCCUGCAGAUAGGACUAAGAGAAGGUAACGAAUGCUAAGCUCUGGCAAAGUAAGGUGGACUACUGCACAGUCCGAUGAAAAGAGAUGCUGUAGGAGAGACUUGUGUCCUAUUUGCCUGCUGGUGGGGUAACGGCCCACCAAGGCGAUGAUAGGUAGCCGGCCUGAGAGGGUGGACGGCCACAAGGGGACUGGGAUACGGCAGUUACGCCUACUGGAGGCAGCAGUGAAGAAUGUUGGACAAUGGGGGCAACCCUGAUCCAGCAAUUCUGUGUGCACGAUGAAGUUUUUCGGAUUGAAAAGUGCUUUCAGCAGGGAAGAAAAAAAUGACGGUACCUGCAGAAGAAGCGACGGCUAAAUACGUG
rnacentral:rRNA from 1 species